CGUACACUCCUGCGGGAGGCAGCAGUAGGGAAUCUUCCACAAUGGGUGCAAACCUGAUGGAGCAAUGCCGCGUGAGUGAAGAAGGUCUUCGGAUCGUAAAGCUCUGUUGUUAGAGAAGAACACGUGCUAGGUAACUACUAGCGCCUUGACGGUAUCUAACCAGAAAGUCACGGCUAACUACGUGCCAGCAGCCGCGGUAAUACGUAGGUGACAAGCGUUGUCCGGAUUUAUUGGGCGUAAAGGGAGCGCAGGCGGUCUGUUUAGUCUAAUGUGAAAGCCCACGGCUUAACCGUGGAACGGCAUUGGAAACUGACAGACUUGAAUGUAGAAGAGGAAAAUGGAAUUCCAAGUGUAGCGGUGGAAUGCGUAGAUAUUUGGAGGAACACCAGUGGCGAAGGCGAUUUUCUGGUCUAACAUUGACGCUGAGGCUCGAAAGCGUGGGGAGCGAACAGGAUUAGAUACCCUGGUAGUCCCAUGAU
rnacentral:rRNA from 1 species